GGCUCAGGAUUACGCUGGCGAGAUGUCUAAUACAUGCAAGUCGAGCGCCCCCACUUGUUUACAACUUUGAGGUUGUAGGUAAGGUGGGGGAGCGGCGAACGGGUGAGUAACACGUUGGAACCUGCCCCGAACUCAGGGAUAGCCCGCCUAACGGCGGAUUAAUACCGGAUAGUCCCGCAAGGGUAAAGCUUUUGCGGUUCGGGAGGGUCCUGCGGCCUAUCAGCUUGUUGGUGAGGUAACGGCUUACCAAGGCUAUGACGGGUAGCUGGUCUGAGAGGAUGAUCAGCCACAAUGGGACUGAGACACGGCCCAUACUCCUACGGGAGGCAGCAGUAAAGAAUCUUUCGCAAUGGGGGAAACCCUGACGGAGCAAUCUCGCGUGAGUGAUGACGGCCGAAAGGUUGUAAAACUCUUUUCUGAGGGAAUAAUUCUGAAGGUACCUUAGGAAUAAGCACCGGCUAACUCCGUGCCAGCAGCCGCGGUAAUACGGAGGGUGCAAGCGUUAUCCGGAAUCAUUGGGCGUAAAGCGUCCGCAGGCGGUUUGUUAAGUUGGUUAUUAAAUCUCGGAGCCCAACUCUGGGGCUGUAACCAAAACUGGCAAACUAGAGUCUUUCAAAGGUACGUGGAAUGCUGUGUGUAGGGGUAAAAUCCGUAGAUACACAGUGGAACACCAAAAGCGAAGGCAACGUACUGGGAAAGUACUGACGCUCAUGGACGAAAGCGUGGGUAGCGAACGGGAUUAGAUACCCCGGUAGUCCACGCCGUAAACUAUGGAUACUAGGUGUUGGAGGACUCGACCCCUUCAGUGCCGACGCUAACGCAUUAAGUAUCCCGCCUGGGGAGUACGGUCGCAAGAUUAAAACUCAAAGGAAUAGACGGGGACCCACACAAGCGGUGGAGCAUCUGGUUUAAUUCGAUAAUGAGCGAGGAACCUUACCUAGGUUUGACAUCCCGAGGAUUUUCCGGAAACGGAAAAGUGCCUUUAUGGAACACGGUGACAGGUGCUGCAUGGUUGUCGUCAGCUCGUGCCUUGAGGUGUUCGGUUAAGUCCGUGAACGAGCGCAACCCAUGUCCUGUGUUGUAUAUUUCACAGGAGACUGCCGAUUCAAAGUCGGAGGAAGGUAUGGAUGACGUCAAAUCAGCAUGGCCCUUAUACCUAGGGCUACACAGGUGCUACAAUGGCCGGUACAAUGGGCAGCAAUGUCGUAAGGCGGAGCCAAUCCCUAAAACCGGUCUCAGUUCGAAUUGAGGGCUGCAAUUCGCCCUCAUGAAGUUGGAAUCGCUAGUAAACGCGGAUCAGCAAUGGCGCGUUGAAUGUGUUCCUGGGUCUUGUACUCACCGCCCGUCACACUAUGGAAGGUGGGGGCGCCCGAAGUA
rnacentral:rRNA from 1 species